rnacentral:rRNA from 1 species
GAUGAACGCUGGCGGCGUGCUUAACACAUGCAAGUCGAACGAAGCACCUCUCCCGAAGAUUGACACAGCUUGCUGUAGAUUGAUUCAUUUGAGGUGACUGAGUGGCGGACGAGUGAGUAACGCGUGGGUAACCUGCCUCAUAGAGGGGGACAACAGUUGGAAACGACUGCUAAUACCGCAUAGUAAGAAGAAUUCGCAUGUUUUCUUCUUGAAAGAUUUAUCGCUAUGAGAUGGACCCGCGUCUGAUUAGCUAGUUGGUAAGGUAACGGCUUACCAAGGCGACGAUCAGUAGCCGGCUUGAGAGAGUGAACGGCCACAUUGGGACUGAGACACGGCCCAAACUCCUACGGGAGGCAGCAGUGGGGAAUAUUGCACAAUGGGGGAAACCCUGAUGCAGCGACGCCGCGUGAGUGAAGAAGUAUUUCGGUAUGUAAAGCUCUAUCAGCAGGGAAGAUAAUGACGGUACCUGACUAAGAAGCCCCGGCUAACUACGUG